CCGGCGCACGGUGAGUAACACGUAUCCAACCUGCCGUCUACUCUUGGACAGCCUUCUGAAAGGAAGAUUAAUACAAGAUGGCAUCAUGAGUCCGCAUGUUCACAUGAUUAAAGGUAUUCCGGUAGACGAUGGGGAUGCGUUCCAUUAGAUAGUAGGCGGGGUAACGGCCCACCUAGUCUUCGAUGGAUAGGGGUUCUGAGGGGAAGGUCCCCCACAUUGGAACUGAGACACGGUCCAA
rnacentral:rRNA from 1 species